UGAGGAAUAUUGGUCAAUGGGCGAGAGCCUGAACCAGCCAAGUAGCGUGCAGGAUGACGGCCCUAUGGGUUGUAAACUGCUUUUAUGUGGGGAUAAAGUGCGUGACGUGUCAUGCAUUGCAGGUACCACAUGAAUAAGGAUCGGCUAAUUCCGUGCCAGCAGCCGCGGUAAUACGGAAGGUCCGGGCGUUAUCCGGAUUUAUCGGGUUUAAAGGGAGCGUAGGCUGUCUAUUAAGCGUGUUGUGAAAUUUACCGGCUCAACCGGUGGCUUGCAGCGCGAACUGGUCGACUUGAGUAUGCAGGAAGUAGGCGGAAUUCAUGGUGUAGCGGUGAAAUGCUUAGAUAUCAUGACGAACUCCGAUUGCGCAGGCAGCUUACUGUAGCAUAACUGACGCUGAUGCUCGAAAGUGCGGGUAUCAAACAGG
rnacentral:rRNA from 1 species